CCUCUUCCCAUUCCGAACAGAGAAGUUAAGCCCACUUGCGCCGAUGGUACUGCAAUGCAAUGCGGGAGAGUAGGUAGCUGCCUUUU
rnacentral:rRNA from 1 species